AGCGAACGCUGGCGGCAGGCUUAACACAUGCGAGUCGAGCGGGCAUCCUUGUGGUGUCAGCGGCAGACGGGUGAGUAACGCGUGGGAACGUGCCCUUCGGUUCGGAAUAACUCAGGGAAACUUGAGCUAAUACCGGAUACGUGCGAGAGCAGAAAGGUUUAUCUGCCGAAGGAUCGGCCCGCGUCUGAUUAGCUAGUUGGUGAGGUUAUGGCUCACCAAGGCGACGAUCAGUAGCUGGUCUGAGAGGAUGAUCAGCCACACUGGGACUGAGACACGGCCCAGACUCCUACGGGAGGCAGCAGUGGGGAAUAUUGGACAAUGGGGGCAACCCUGAUCCAGCCAUGCCGCGUGAGUGAUGGCGGCCUUAGGGUUGUAAAGCUCUUUUCUCCGGGACGAUAAUGACGGUACCGGAGGAAUAAGCCCCGGCUAACUUCGUG
rnacentral:rRNA from 1 species